CAUUAGGACGCUAAAACUGGAUAGCAUUGACCUUUUAAGUCAAAAUUUGGUGACUACCGACCACCUCUAAUGA
rnacentral:tRNA from 1 species